rnacentral:rRNA from 1 species
GAUGAACGCUGGCGGCGUGCCUAAUACAUGCAAGUCGAGCGAACGGACGCGAAGCUUGCUUCUCUGAUGUUAGCGGCGGACGGGUGAGUAACACGUGGAUAACCUACCUAUAAGACUGGGAUAACUUCGGGAAACCGGAGCUAAUACCGGAUAAUAUUUUGAACCGCAUGGUUCAAAAGUGAAAGACGGUCUUGCUGUCACUUAUAGAUGGAUCCGCGCUGCAUUAGCUAGUUGGUAAGGUAACGGCUUACCAAGGCAACGAUGCAUAGCCGACCUGAGAGGGUGAUCGGCCACACUGGAACUGAGACACGGUCCAGACUCCUACGGGAGGCAGCAGUAGGGAAUCGUCCGCAAUGGGCGAAAGCCUGACGGAGCAACGCCGCGUGAGUGAUGAAGGUCUUCGGAUCGUAAAACUCUGUUAUUAGGGAAGAACAUAUGUGUAAGUAACUGUGCACAUCUUGACGGUACCUAAUCAGAAAGCCACGGCUAACUACGUG